ACUGGAUAACUGAAUUCUAGAAUUCAAGCCUGAUGUCAUAGUUCCAUGAGAAUUUUAUGAGAAGGAAAAGGAUGUUGUACAUGGGCAGAAAGGUGAAAAUUGUGGCCAGAGGCAGAUUGUGGUAAAUUACAAAAUUGGCUCAUAAUCCUUUAUUCCUUCUUGCCUCCAUGCUCUUUGCAAUGUGACUUUGCCACUUUUCUCAUUAAGAGAUGGAUUCUGUUCUCCAUUGCCUUCUGUCUGGACUGGUCUUGUAACUUGUUCUGGUUAAUACAGAGGUAAAUGUGAUGACACAUCAGAAGCCCAGGCCUCAAGCAAGCUUUCCCACUUGUUCUCUUGGAACCCUUCCCAGCUAUCAGACACUACUGGCAAAGACAUUGAAAAGAAUCACACUGCUAAACCAGUAGCAGCUUUUAUCUUCUUCUCAGAUUGUAUACAUGCAGGAUAAAAGUGUUUCUAACACAUAGACUUCUAUAUUCCAGCAUAAAGAUGUAUUAGGCGCAUUUAUACUUUUACAUCGAAGCCUGUUUCAACAUGAACGGAGCCCAGGGAAGUUGGUGACUUAAUCCUCGUUAUACCCUGAUUUUGGACAAAUUUUACAAGAAGAAUAGGACUUCUACUUCUCUAUGUCUACAUGCACCUGGAACAGUGCUAGGUCUAUGCUUACAAAUUGAUUGGUUCAGGUCACCGCCAUGAGCCUCAGGACAGAAAAUUGCCGGAUAUGAGAGAGAGAGAGAGAUUUGACUGGGCUAAGAAAGAAAUGAACACGAUUUAGAGAUGGAAAUGGUGACAUAUGGGCCUUUGAAGCCUCCCAUGUUCCAGAGAAGGUGAGGUUUCACCAUGUUAGUCAGGAUGGUCUCGAUCUCCUGACCUCGUGACCUGCCCAGCUCGGCCUCCCAAAGUGCUGGGAUUACAGGCAUGAGCCAUUGCGCCUAACCUCAGAAACCAUUUUUAUAACCUCAAUACCUAAUAGAAACUGGCACAUGGCCAGCUUGAUGGCACAGCGGGGAGUGAGGAAGACUCGGUGGACAAAUCUGACUGGAAAACAAGUAGGCGUUGCAGAUGAAGACCUGGAACCAUGGUAGGAAGUGGGACAGGGAGCAUUUGGACAAGCUGUUCAAGAACUGAUCAUGCUCAUGUGUAUGGGAAAACAGAUGGAGGAAGAGAAAUUCCUGAAGAGCACAAGACUGGUGGGGCAAGGAACAAGCCUACUGAGAUGAGUUGCAGAUUUGAAGAUGGGAGAAAUGGUUUCGUUGUCUACCAUGUAAAAACUCAUUUAUGCAAGAUGCUUGAUAUCUGAAUUUCAAUUUCUUCAUUAUCAAAAUGAAUAUUAAAAAUACUCUACUUCUUAGAGUUGUCAAAAA
rnacentral:lncRNA from 1 species